UACGGAGGAUGCAAGCGUUAUCCGGAAUUAUUGGGCGUAAAGCGUACGUAGGCGGCUUGGUAAGUCUGGGGUCAAAGCCCGCAGCCCAACUGCGGAAAGGCCUUGGAAACUGCUGAGCUAGAGUGCGGUAGGGGCGAGGGGAAUUCCCGGUGUAGCGGUGAAAUGUGGAGAUAUCGGGAAGAACACCAGCGGCGAAAGCGCCUCGCUGGCCCGCGACUGACGCUGAGGUACGAAAGCCAGGGGAGCGAAUGGGAUUAGAUACCCCAGUAGUCCUGGCCGUAAACGAUGGACACUAGGUGUUGCGCGUAUCGACCCGUGCAGUGCCGUAGCUAACGCGUUAAGUGUCCCGCCUGGGGAGU
rnacentral:rRNA from 1 species